rnacentral:misc_RNA from 1 species
GUGAAUCAUCGAAUCUUUGAACGCAAAUUGCACUCUCUUCGGAGAGUAUGCCUGUUUGAGGGUCAGCCUAUAAAAAAAUAGACAGAUUCGCUGUUUCGGGGUGACAUUCGUGGGAAACGGUGACAUCUUAACCCUUUGUGUUUUACGUCGCUUAAAAUUUUCUUUACUAUUAUACGAACGUUUCUAAUUUU